AGGACGCCCCAGAAGACGAAGCGGCCAAGAGGCAAAGAGCCCAUCUCGUUUUCGCCGCGUGCGUGCGUGUGAACAGUAGUGCACCCGUGCGGCGGUGCAGCUCUCACAACACUCUCGAGUGCCUCGUCUCCUCCCUCCCUCCCAACCCCCUCCCUCAAAAAAAACGAUUCAUCUUGCUUUUUUUUGCUUUGUGCUGCGCGUGCAACUGACAGACAUAGACGCACGCACCCGCACCCACACGCGCACGGUGGCACCUUACUCUUCUGCUUCCACGUGCGUGCACGCAUGUGGUACGUGAUACAACCCAUAGACACACUCACACCCACCCACCCACACACAGGACCUACACGCACACCCUGAUUUGCCCCUCCCCUCUCUCUUUCUCGCGUGUCUCUCAUACACGUACGCAUUUCAUCUUUCCCUUGUACUUCUCCCGCUUCCCCCCUUCCCCCACCAACCAACUUUACCACACCUGUGCUCACAGAUGACGUCGCUGACUCUCAGAGAGAUCGGGGCCACCAACAACGUCGCAGAGGAUCACGACGUCCUAGAGCUCUUCGCAGCGUGUCGCGAGAGCGUGGUCCACGUGGCGGCGUCGCACCUGCUGCCAUAUCAUGUCGCAGUGACCACGAGAAAUGGUUUUGUCGAGCUCAUCGACACUGCCACUGGUGAGUUUCGUCUUUUCCUGACGUAUCUCGACCGAAUUCCUCUUGAUGCCUCGCUGCGGUGCUUCUCACUUGUGCCUAGCCUCUACGCGGCCUCGCAGCAGCAUCACCAUCGCCGUCCUCAGCACCACCUCCUCUACUCCCUUUCCUACUCCAACGAGCUCCUGCUGGGAAACGUGGAGACGGGCGCGGUGCGUGUCUUCGCAACGUGUGAGAGCCGGCCAAGUGUCGUGCAGUGUGAUGGUGACUACAUCAUCUGUGGCGAGGGGACCGGAAAGGUGACGGUGUGGCGCACGAGUGUGGAGGGGGAGUGGGACGCGCGAUAUGCCUCUAGCUCUGCCGCAUCCACUUCCCUAUUGCCGCCUCUGUGGAAGGCUUGUCUCUUUGAUAGCACCGUCGUCUGUGCGAAUCUCCAUCGAGAUCAGCUCGUGUGCUGCUCGGCAGACUACCGCUGCGUCGUGGCGUGCGUGGAGGACGGGGUUGUGCGUGCCACUCUGCCGCUCGACCUGAACCAGGCGGUGGCUGUGUUCGCUCUGACGAUGCCGUCGAUGGCAUCGUUGCUGCACAAAAGCCUAGUCGUGUGCCUCACCUCGCGCAUCUCCAUCUUCACAUCGAGGCCGGCCCGCGACACGGCUGCCUCAGCGCAGCUCUCCCCGUCUUCUGUGCCGACCGCAGAGCACUUGGAGUGCUGGACGCGCCAAGGGGACUGCGCUGUCGAACGAGAGGAGGUGGCGUGCGCUUCAUGUCUCGGCGGCUAUCUGGCAACUGGCACCAUCUCUGGGUUGGUGUUACUGUACUCCUGUGACGCUGCUGAGCCGCUGGUGAAGGAGUUGGUGCGCUUCAACGUCGGCUAUGGUGUCACGGGCAUACAGCUUUUCCCCAACGACACACUCCUUGUCGUCACAUCGGUUGGCGAUGUCUGGCGAUGGCCGCUGUGCGAUUUGCUGCGCAACGCGGGCGCGAGCGGCGCAGAAGGCGAGAAAGAUGAGGCGACGGAGGCGGAGCCGACAGCUGCUUCACACCAGCCUCCGCUGCCGUUGGCCGCACCACGGGUGCCAGCGGCUCCGUCUCCGCAGGACAAAACCCUCCAUACUGAGCCGCGUGUGCCUGCCCCCCCGCACGAGGUGAGCUACACCCAGGAGGGUGACACAGAGGACCGCAGCUUCUCAGCCCACGACACCUCGACUCUGGGACACACACCGCAGAGAGAGCGCGAGGCAACAGCAAGGGUAGAGGAAAUUGUCACCGCGGUAUGCGUCGACGCCGACGCCCCUUUAGUCGGUGCCCGCAGUGACGCUGAAGAGCAGGGCACCCCAUCGGUGCAUCUCUCUACCGCAUCUGCGUCUCUUCGGGCCCUGAGCGCUUCAUCCGAGAACGACGGUGACGAGGACCACCCGAACGAGCGCGGCAAUAGCAGCACAGACAUGGACGCGCGCCGCGCCGAGCCAGCGACGGUUUCGUGCCUUCCGCCGCCGCCUCCGCUCGCGUCGCCGACGGUUUCAGAUAAGUUCGAUGAGAAGAGAGGCGCCGGUGGUGUGGCUCGGUGCGCCACCGAGUUUCAGCGGCGGACCCUCUACGACCCGGAGCAGAGCACUGAAGAGCUGGGGGUGGUGGACAUGGGCGUGCCGUUCAGUGCUGCUGAAAAUUCGGCUGACCUAAGUCACGAUGACCUGCGCAUCGCCGUCUCACCACCUUCCACUGCAGACACCACCGCCCACCACGACGCAGCAUUGGAUGGCAGCGGCGCAGACGUACCGGAGGUGACAGCGAGGGGGCCAGCCGCAGGCGCAGCAGCACUAGCAGCCAAGGAGGGGACGAUCAGUGACAAGGACAUUCAACCCUUCCAGAGCAACCACGGCGACCUCCGCGACACCGCUGGUGUGGCGCAAGGUACUGUCCACAGCAGCCCAGGUAUUGCAAGCAGACAGGGAACGAGCAUGAAGGCUGCCGUGGACGACCUGGAGCUCGAGUUCGCGCACGCAAUGAAGCGACUGCUAGGGCCAACUGUGGGCGUUGAAGGCCUCCGCAAGGACCGUCGUAUGAAUCCUCGCAAGGUGGCUGGUGUUCUCGCCAACCUCACGAACCAGCAGGCAGCCGCAGCGGGUGCCAAAGGGCUCUCCCAUGAGGCGCCGUCGCAGCCACGUGCACUCGAGGGGUCGAACAGUACCAAGUUGCUGGAGGAGAAACGGGCGACGCUAGAGGCAGCCGCAUUCGACUUCGAAGCGUACCGGCAGGCUCACCGCUUGGAGGUGGAUGCUCUACAGUAUCACCACCCUGUGCGGGCUCCUACCUACACCCUGCAGGAUCGUGUCUUUGACGCUGUUGAGUCUGCGGGACGUCUUUGCGACAAGGAGGCCGGGAGAGCCACUGGAGCCUCAGGGAAUGCCGCUGCCACUCUCCCCGCAGCGCCAGAGGAUGAGUUACGCGACGUGACGUACGGCAAGGUGAAGUGGACUCUUGACCCUCAAAUCGCUGAGGAGCGUCGGCGCGGCGGGCCAGAGAUGGCGCAGCACCACUGCGAUCACUUGAUCUUUUCGACUCCGUACCCCACGAAGACAACAGUGCUGUUUGCCGAGGAGGCGCCUCUCAUGCCCAGCACAGCGUGGGAGGAGGUUCUCUUGCUGCCGCUGCCGCUCCCCCCCGCUCCCUCCGUCUUCUAGGGCACUUCACUGGGAGGGACUUCCGUGCUUUCACGGACUUGUGCGCUUCUCGCUUCGCUCUUUCGCAGGCAUCCGACCAGCCCCACUACCACAAACAUUCCAUGCCACACUGCCAUUGCCGCGGCCAACGCGGUCGCGCACGCGCUCAAAGGGCAGAGGAGGGGGGGGGUAGGGAGGCUCCCCUCUUCAACAACGGAUUCUUUUGAUGCUUGUGCCCUUUGGCAUCCGUGAAGGGGUGCGCUUGCUGUGUCCUCGUUACGGGAGAGAGC
rnacentral:misc_RNA from 1 species